GUAUCGGAUUGGCUCGCGUACGACUAGUCGUAGUGGCGGGGUAACGGCCCACCGUGCCGACGAUGGCUAGGGGUUCUGAGAGGAAGGUCCCCCACAUUGGAACUGAGACACGGUCCAGACUCCUACGGGAGGCAGCAGUGAGGAAUAUUGGACAAUGGCCGGAAGGCUGAUCCAGCCAUGCCGCGUGCGGGAGGACGGCCCUAUGGGUUGUAAACCGCUUUUGCGGGGGAGCAAUAAGAGCCACGGGUGGUUCGAUGAGAGUACCCUGCGAAUAAGCAUCGGCUAACUCCGUGCC
rnacentral:rRNA from 1 species